rnacentral:rRNA from 1 species
GACGAACGCUGGCGGCUGCCUAAUACAUGCAAGUAGAACGCACAGGAUGCACCGUAGUUUACUACACCGUAUUCUGUGAGUUGCGAACGGGUGAGUAACGCGUAGGUAACCUGCCUGGUAGCGGGGGAUAACUAUUGGAAACGAUAGCUAAUACCGCAUAAGAACAUUUACUGCAUGGUAGAUGUUUAAAAGGUGCAAAUGAUCACUACCAGAUGGACCUGCGUGUAUUAGCUAGUAGGUGAGGUAACGGCUCACCUAGGCGACGAUACAUAGCCGACCUGAGAGGGUGAUCGGCCACACUGGGACUGAGACACGGCCCAGACUCCUACGGGAGGCAGCAGUAGGGAAUCUUCGGCAAUGGGGGGAACCCUGACCGAGCAACGCCGCGUGAGUGAAGAAGGUUUUCGGAUCGUAAAGCUCUGUUGUUAAGG